AACGAACGCUGGCGGCAGGCCUAACACAUGCAAGUCGAACGCCCUAGCAAUAGGGAGUGGCAGACGGGUGAGUAACACGUGGGAACCUUCCCUAUAGUACGGAAUAUACCAGGGAAACUUGGAGCAAUACCGUAUACGCCCGAGAGGGGAAGAUUUAUCGCUAUAGGAUGGGCCCGGCGUAGGAUUAGCUAGUUGGUGAGGUAAUGGCUCACCAAGGCGACGAUCCUUAGCUGGUUUGAGAGAACGACCAGCCACACUGGACUGAGACACGGCCCAGACUCCUACGGGGAGGCAGCAGUGGGGGAA
rnacentral:rRNA from 1 species